rnacentral:rRNA from 1 species
CCUACGGGAGGCAGCAGUGAGGAAUAUUGGUCAAUGGGCGGGAGCCUGAACCAGCCAAGUCGCGUGAGGGAAGACGGUCCUAUGGAUUGUAAACCUCUUUAGGCGGGGAGCAAUGCUGGGCACGUGUGCCCGGAGGGAGAGUACCCGCAGAAUAAGCAUCGGCUAACUCCGUGCCAGCAGCCGCGGUAAUACGGAGGAUGCGAGCGUUAUCCGGAUUGAUUGGGUUUAAAGGGUGCGUAGGCGGAUUUUUAAGUCAGCGGUAAAAUGUCCGGGCUCAACCCGGGCCGGCCGUUGAAACUGGGGAUCUUGAGUGGGCGAGAAGUAUGCGGAAUGCGUGGUGUAGCGGUGAAAUGCAUAGAUAUCACGCAGAACUCCGAUUGCGAAGGCAGCAUACCGGCGCCCGACUGACGCUGAGGCACGAAAGCGUGGGGAUCGAACAGGAUUAGAUACCCGUGUAGUC